UUCUCCUGAUAUCUUCUCCUUGUUCUGAUGAGAAGAUGAGCUGCAUGUAAACAGGAGCCAGGACUGUAAUGUUUCAGGAGUAAGAAAAUAUAGAGAAAGUGAAGAUAGUCCCUGCAUCAAAGUGGGAUAAGCUCAAAGAACUGAAGUAUACACUUGAUAACAUAAGGCUGUAGCAGAGGAAAAGCAGCAGUUACAUUGCAGAGUAAUUUGCAGUUACUCAGUAAAUACAUCCAGGGGUUUGAG
rnacentral:lncRNA from 1 species